rnacentral:rRNA from 1 species
GAUGAACGCUGGCGGCGUGCCUAAUACAUGCAAGUCGAGCGAACAGACGAGGGGCUUGCUCCUCUGACGUUAGCGGCGGACGGGUGAGUAACACGUGGAUAACCUACCUAUAAGACUGGGAUAACUUCGGGAAACCGGAGCUAAUACCGGAUAAUAUAUUGAACCGCAUGGUUCAAUAGUGAAAGACGGUUUUGCUGUCACUUAUAGAUGGAUCCGCGCCGCAUUAGCUAGUUGGUAAGGUAACGGCUUACCAAGGCAACGAUGCGUAACCGACCUGAGAGGGUGAUCGGCCACACUGGAACUGAGACACGGUCCAGACUCCUACGGGAGGCAGCAGUAGGGAAUCUUCCGCAAUGGGCGAAAGCCUGACGGAGCAACGCCGCGUGAGUGAUGAAGGUCUUCGGAUCGUAAAACUCUGUUAUUAGGGAAGAACAAAUGUGUAAGUAACUAUGCACGUCUUGACGGUACCUAAUCAGAAAGCCACGGCUAACUACGUG